UACGAAGGGUGCAAGCGUUAAUCGGAAUUACUGGGCGUAAAGGGUGCGUAGGCGGUUGUUUAAGUCUGUCGUGAAAUCCCCGGGCUCAACCUGGGAAUGGCGAUGGAAACUGGGCAGCUAGAGUGUGUCAGAGGAUGGUGGAAUUCCCGGUGUAGCGGUGGAAUGCGUAGAGAUCGGGAAGAACAUCGGUGGCGAAGGCGGUCUGCUGGGCCGUUGCUGACGCUGAGGCGCGACAGCGUGGGGAGCAAACAGG
rnacentral:rRNA from 1 species